CGAACGAGAAAGAUUAAGGUGCUUGCACCAUGAUCGAUCUAGUGGCGAAUGGGUGAGUAACACGUGAGUAACCUGCCCUCUAGACUGGGAUAACUUCUGGAAACGGAUUGUAAUACCGGAUGUCAUCUGAACAUCGCAUGAUGAUCAGAGAAAAGCUUAGAUGCACUAGAGGAUGGACUCGCGGCGUAUUAGCUAGUUGGUGAGAUAGAAGCUCACCAAGGCGAUGAUGCAUAGCUGGUCUGAGAGGAUGAACAGCCACAUUGGGACUGAGACACGGCCCAGACUCCUACGGGAGGCAGCAGUGGGGAAUCUUCCGCAAUGGGCGCAAGCCUGACGGAGCAACGCCGCGUGAGUGAAGAAGGUUUUCGGAUCGUAAAGCUCUGUUGAGAGGGACGAGAGGCAAGGCUAGGAAAUGAGCUUUGUAGGACGGUACCUUUCGAGGAAGCCACGGCUAACUACGUG
rnacentral:rRNA from 1 species